rnacentral:lncRNA from 1 species
GUUUUGGCUGAAUUGGUUAGAGUUUUUUCUUUUUCGUGAAAUGACAUAAUUUGUUUGUUUAUUAAAUUUAUGGAGUUUGGUCGCAAAGUUUGAGAAUUGCUCUGAUUCACUCUGUGUGUUUGUUGAGGCUAUGUAUAUGCAACAUUUGAUGGGGUGGAGUGGGUGAUUGUGGUUCUGAUGAAGGAGAUUACAGAAGCUGUGUGGUAGAUGAUGAGGCUGAGGGGCGAUAUUGAGGAGAAGAGAAGAUUGUAAUGGAGGGAGAGCCACUAUGAAUUUAAUUUAGGAUAUUUAGUGCGGGGGCUAUGAAUUUAAUUUAGAGUUAUAGAUUAUAGGAUAAAAUAGUAAAUUUAUAAUAAUUUAU